GGAGGGGUGCGAGAGCGGUCUAAUCGCCACGUCUGGAAAGCGUUGGGCUGUGAAAGCGGCACGAGGGUUCGAAUCCCUCCCCCUCCG
rnacentral:tRNA from 1 species